UGGAAAAGUAGUUUAAACUUAAAACAUAACACUGAAAAUGUUAAGAUGUCACUUUGUCCUUAUCCAA
rnacentral:tRNA from 1 species